CCUACGGGUGGCAGCAGUGGGGAAUAUUGCGCAAUGGGCGAAAGCCUGACGCAGCGACGCCGCGUGAGGGAUGAAGGUCUUCGGAUCGUAAACCUCUGUCAGCAGGGAAGAACGGUCACUGUGCUAAUCAGCAGUGAAUUGACGGUACCUGCAAAGGAAGCACCGGCUAACUCCGUGCCAGCAGCCGCGGUAAUACGGAGGGGGCGAGCGUUAAUCGGAAUUACUGGGAGUAAAGCGCUCGUAGGUGGUAUGUCAAGUCCAAGGUGAAAGCCCCGGGCUCAACGUUGGAACUGCCUUUGAAACUGGCAAACUGGAGUGUGUGAGAGGAUAGUGGAAUUACAGGUGUAGGAGUGAAAUCCGUAGAUAUCUGGAGGAACAUCAGUGGCGAAGGCGACUAUCUGGCAGAUAACUGACGCUGAGGAGCGAAAGCGUGGGUAGCAAACAGGAUUAGAUACCCCUGUAGUC
rnacentral:rRNA from 1 species